GAUAUUGGUCAAUGGCCUAACGGCUGAACCAGCAAUUUGGGGGAAUGUAUGAUAUUUAUAUCAGUAUAUAUAUACUAAGGUAUGUAUAUAUAUUGACUAUGUCAAAUAAAGUUCUAGAUAGAUAACUGAUAAUGACAAACUUCUAUCUAUAUGUCUUGACCAAGUCUUGUGCCAGCAGUCGCGGCAAUACAAGGAAGACUAGUGUUAUUCAUCUUUAUUAGGUUUAAAGGGUACCUAGACGGUUUUUAUAGCUCCAAAAGAGUACGUAGAAACUAGAGUUUGAUGGGAGAGGUAAAUAUUAGGGCCAUUGGUGUAGAGAUAGAAUGUUAUGAUACUAAUGGAACGGAUAAAGGCGAAGGCAAUCCUCUAGAUAAAAACUGACGUUGAGGGACGAAGGCUUGGGGAGCAAAUAGGAUUAGAUACCCUAGUAGUCCAGGCAGAAAAUUAUGAAUGUUAUAGACUGAAUAUAAAGUUGGUGUAUAAAUGAAAGUGUAAGCAUUCCACCUCAAGAGUAAUGUGGCAACACAGGAACUGAAAUCAUUAGACCGUUUCUGAAACCAGUAGUGAAGUAUGUUAUUUAAUUCGAUGACCCUCGAAAAACCUUACCACAAUUUGAAUAGUAUUUUCUGUUAUACCCUUUAACUGGGGUACAAAAUAUUACAAGCGUUGCACGGCUGUCUUCAGUUAAUGUCGUGAGAUUUUGGUUAGAUCCAUUAAAUUAACGUAAACCCUUGCUACAUUUAUACAGGUGUAAGUAGUUGUAGACAGACUACUUUCACACAUUAUUAUGUGUAGCAGUUCACCGCUAUAUUGGAUAUGAUAACAGGGACCAAGACAAGUCAUCAUGACCUUAAUAUUGUGGGCUAUAGACG
rnacentral:rRNA from 1 species